rnacentral:rRNA from 1 species
UGGGGAAUAUUGCACAAUGGGCGAAAGCCUGAUGCAGCAACGCCGCGUGAGCGAUGAAGGCCUUCGGGUCGUAAAGCUCUGUCCUCAAGGAAGAUAAUGACGGUACUUGAGGAGGAAGCCCCGGCUAACUACGUGCCAGCAGCCGCGGUAAUACGUAGGGGGCGAGCGUUAUCCGGAAUUAUUGGGCGUAAAGAGUACGUAGGUGGUUACUUAAGCGCAGGGUUUAAGGCAAUGGCUCAACCAUUGUUCGCCCUGCGAACGGAGCUACUUGAGUGCAGGAGAGGAAAGUGGAAUUCCUAGUGUAGCGGUGAAAUGCGUAGAUAUUAGGAGGAACACCAGUGGCGAAGGCGACUUUCUGGACUGUUACUGACACUGAGGUACGAAAGCGUGGGGAGCAAACAGG